GACGAACGCUGGCGGCGUGCCUAACACAUGCAAGUCGAGCGAUGAAAUCCUUCGGGAUGGAUUAGCGGCGGACGGGUGAGUAACACGUGGGUAACCUGCCUCAAAGAGGGGGAUAGCCUCCCGAAAGGGAGAUUAAUACCGCAUAACAUUAGUUUUUCGCAUGGAGAACUAAUUAAAGGAGUAAUCCGCUUUGAGAUGGACCCGCGGCGCAUUAGCUAGUUGGUGAGGUAAUGGCUCACCAAGGCGACGAUGCGUAGCCGACCUGAGAGGGUGAUCGGCCACAUUGGAACUGAGACACGGUCCAGACUCCUACGGGAGGCAGCAGUGGGGAAUAUUGCACAAUGGGCGAAAGCCUGAUGCAGCAACGCCGCGUGAGUGAUGAAGGCCUUCGGGUUGUAAAGCUCUGUCUUUUGGGACGAUAAUGACGGUACCAAAGGAGGAAGCCACGGCUAACUACGUGCCAGCCGCCGCAGUAAUAC
rnacentral:rRNA from 1 species